rnacentral:rRNA from 1 species
GCUAGUUGUGGGCCACAUUCCACGUGGUCCGUGACGAAGUUAACACAUUAAGCACCCCGCCUGGGGAGUACGGUCGCAAGACUAAAACUCAAAGGAAUUGACGGGGGCCCGCACAAGCGGCGGAGCAUGCGGAUUAAUUCGAUGCAACGCGAAGAACCUUACCAAGGCUUGACAUAUAGAGGAAACGUGCAGAAAUGUACGCCCCGCAAGGUCUCUAUACAGGUGGUGCAUGGUUGUCGUCAGCUCGUGUCGUGAGAUGUUGGGUUAAGUCCCGCAACGAGCGCAACCCUCGUCCUAUGUUGCCAGCACGUAAUGGUGGGAACUCAUGGGAGACUGCCGGGGUCAACUCGGAGGAAGGUGGGGAUGACGUCAAAUCAUCAUGCCCCUUAUGUCUUGGGCUUCACGCAUGCUACAAUGGCCAGUACAAAGGGCUGCAAUACCGUAAGGUGGAGCGAAUCCCAAAAAGCUGGUCUCAGUUCGGAUUGAGGUCUGCAGCUCGACCUCAUGAAGUCGGAGUCGCUAGUAAUCGCAGAUCAGCAACGCUGCGGUGAAUACGUUCCCGGGCCUUGUACACACCGCCCGUCAAGUCACGAAAGUCGGUAACAC